ACACGACUACAUUAGAUACCCCCGUAGUCCUAGCCGUAAACGAUACUCGCUAGGUGUCGGCCACGGUGCGACCGUUGUCGGUGCCGUAGGGAAGCCGUGAAGCGAGCCACCUGGGAAGUACGGCCGCAAGGCUGAAACUUAAAGGAAUUGGCGGGGGAGCACAACAACGGGUGGAGCUUGCGGUUUAAUUGGAUUCAACGCCGGAAAUCUUACCGGGACCGACAGCAACAUGAAGGCCAAGCUGAAGACUUUGCCGGAUUAGCUG
rnacentral:rRNA from 1 species